rnacentral:rRNA from 1 species
GAUGAACGCUGGCUACAGGCUUAACACAUGCAAGUCGAGGGGAAACGACGGGGAAGCUUGCUUCCCCGUUCGUCGACCGGCGCACGGUUGAGUAACGCGUAUCCAACCUUCCUCUGACUGAGGGAUAACCCGUCGAAAGUCGGCCUAAUACCUCAUAUCAUCGUCUGCGGGCAUCCAACGACGAUUAAAGAUUUCAUCGGUCAUAGAUGGGGCUGCGUCUGAUUAGCUUGUUGGCGGGGUAACGGCCAACCAAGGCGACGAUCAGUAGGGGUUCUGAGAGGCAGGUCCACUACAUCGGAACUGAGACACGGACUAAAAUCGUACGGGAGGGAGGAGUGACGAAUAUUAGUCGAUGGGGGAGAGCGUGAACACGCCACGUAGCGUGCAGGAGGACGGGGAUCUGGGUUGUCAACUGUUUUUAAGCGGGGAUAAAGUGAGGGACGUGUCAUUCAUUGAAGGUACCGAAUGAAUAAGGACCGGCUAAUUCCGUG